CCCUGUUCCUGUUCUUUCUCAUCCUUCUCUGGCAGGGAAAGUCUUCUUCCUCAAGACCUUCCGCCGGCUGAGCUUCCCGGAGGCGUCCCUGGCCUGUCAGAAGAGCCGGGCGGUGGUGGCCAAGGUGGGCCAGCUCUACGCCGCCUGGAAGACCCAGCUGCUGGACAAGUGCGAGGCCGGCUGGGUGGGCGACGGCAGCGUCCGCUACCCCAUCGUCAACCCCCGGCCCCGGUGUGGGGGCCGCGAGCCGGGCGUCCGCUCCCUGGGCUUCCCGGACAAGAAGUACAAGCUCUUCGGCGUCUACUGCUACAAGGAGAGCGGCGAGAAGACGGACCCGGUCGGGAAUGGGAAGCAGUUCCAAGUCUAAGCGAAAGGGCAGAAGUCGCCUCCUUCCUCGAGAUCCUCUUUCCCGGAGCGGAACAACCGAGCGUCCGGAAGACUCGGGUUGGGCCGCCCAACGCUGCGAGAGACGGACUAUUUGAGAUCCAGAAUCUGGAUCGCACGGUACGAUCGGAGGCUGCUCUCCUCCUUUUCUUGCUUGCCUCGUUCUUCUUCUUCUUCUUCGCAAAGGUCUUGGCUUGGCUUUAUAUUGCUUUACAAAGGCGAUGGUGUCGUUCUGAGUCGACGCACCAAAUCCGCUUGAAAAUGGACCGGGGGGUUGUUUUUUGCAUGCGUCUCGCAAAUCGUCCCCAACAAAAAGCACAAGAGAUCCUCCUCCUCCUCUCCUUGUAUCGCUCUUACCGUUUUUGUACAGAUCGCGACAUCUUCUCCACGUUCCUUAUUUUGUCCUUCAGCUCGCAGCGAUCGCAGGAUUUGGAUGGCGCUAUGUCUCCCAUUAAUAAUAAUAAUAAUAAUAAUAAACCUAUCUUGUGUUUGUGUGUACCCCUUAUUAUGCGACCGAAAAAUAACGUCCCUGAUUAUCCGACUGAAAAACCGCAUCCCGUAUUAUCUGACCGAAAAAAUGCAUUCCCUAUGAUCAGGCCGAAAAAUCGCAUCCUUUGUUAUCAGGACGAAAAAUCGCAUCUCUUAUCAGGACGAAAAAUCGCGUCUCUUGUUAUUAGGACGAAAAAUCGCGUCUCUUGUUAUUAG
rnacentral:lncRNA from 1 species